rnacentral:lncRNA from 1 species
UAGUUAUUUUUCUCACCGUGGAGCCUUCGGCAGCUGUGGAUAAAUCAGGAGUUCCUGUUUGUAGGUUGUACAGUAUGUGUGAUUCUUUUUAUACCAGAUAGCAAGCCAUUGAGGAGUAGUUCCUAGGAGAGCUUAGGUAUCUGAUUUCGAUUGAUUGGUUCGUUGAUUGUAAAUUUGUGUCCAGUUUUUCAUGCCAUGUUUUAUUUUCAGUUAUGUUGGGCUUGUAUAGCAAGGGGACAAGGGCAAAAGUCCCUGUAUAAGCUUAGUAAUACAAAGUUUUGCUGUAAUUAGUGAAGCUGUACGUGUUGUAAAUUGUUACAGAAAAUGAACAUCAUUGUUCUGCUGGUAUAGAAUAAUGGCAUUGUGGUUGGUUUGUUCGUGCCUUCUGUCGGUGUACUAGAGUAGGGGUACCCUAGUAUCCCGAACUCGUGCACGGGCAGUCGCAGCACCCCGCGGUAAGGCUUGCCGGGUGACCGCCAAGGUCCUUCGUGGUUUCUUUGGAGCCAUUCAAGAACAAAGUAUUCAAGCCAAGGAGACAAGGCCCCGGCAAGAGGAGCUUGCCGGGAAGGUCAACCAAGGCAUCUCAAGGAACUUGCUGCGACGCGCCACGCGUCUCGGCGAGGCCUGGUAAGCAACAAGCUUCCGGACGCGACAAGACAACGACCGCGGCAAACUACCACUUUGUACCCGCGCUCCAGCACAUCCACCAACGUGUUGCCCUGGGACCUUUCCAGGCGCGCUUGGCAAGAGGCUGUGCGGCCAGCGGUGCGCGGUGGCAAGCGACGCUGACAAGAUUGCCAUCGUGGCAAGCGGUGGCGUCCCUGACGGUCCCUUUUUGCACUAUUUGGGCGACGUAGACGGGCAUUUAAUGCCUUUGUUCCCUGCCGUCAGGGUUAGGUAUGAUACACUGUACAGGUAGUUGUACCAACCGCAAUUCCUUUUCCAUUUUUACCCUUGUUUAUGUUGCCACCUGUCGGAGACCCCUUUAGCAUAUAAAAGGAGGCCCAUGCGCAACGUAGAGGGGGGUUGGAAGGCAGAAAAACGCUCACGCUCGGUCUCGUUAGCAGCUAGUGUGUACUGUAGCACUCAGCGCUAACGAGCAAGAACUCAAUACACCCAGACAUGCAGCAGUAGGAAUGUUAUCUCUCCGGAGAGCUCCGAAGCUGGGUAAACUGCUUGUGUGCUUCGCCUCGAUCCGCUCUUCGUGCGAUCUCCGCCCCCCGCCGAACCGAAAGGGGCUCGGUCCGCCGGUCCCAUAGGUGUUCGUGGAUCAGUUUCCCCGACAUCUUUGGCGCGCCAGGUAGGGGGCGUCGAGGUUGUGUGAACCUGAUCCGGCGUUCACACGAGCUAGAUCUUCAUUCUUCAUCGACAUGCCACCGAAGAAGAAGGCUUCGGCGGCAGCUGUUCCGUCCACGUCGAUCCCACCACCACCGGAGCAAACGAGUGGUGGGGUAGACGCCGGCGGAAGAACGGGCAUCGACGAGGGAGCUCACGGUGCUGCCAGGUCCAAGGACAAGGCUGCGCAGACUUCGGCGUCCGUACAUGCGCCGCGCCCAUCUCAGGAGGCGCAGGACCGACAGCGUCAUGGUAUUCGCAGUGCCAUACGUUUGUUGGACCAAGAUCGAGCUGGUGGAUCUCGGGGUGCUCAAGACCAGCAUGCACGCCAACAUGCUGGCACGAGCGAGACACGGUCGCCUGGACGGGAUACUGCUCCUUCUAACAUAGUUAGAAGCCUGAGCAUAUCCCGCUCCUCGCACCGUUCGCCACUGCCGCCCACCACUCCAGCAGAAUCUUUGGCGCGAGCUCAACUGCUCCUGGAUUACCCUCCAACGGCAGACAAGAUCGAUCAAUGGAGGGCCACCAUUCAGAGUCUCAUCGGCUUCGCCAACGGCGACACUCCGCGGCAGCCGAAUACAUCGCUGCCGCGGCAGGACUGCCAGGCACGAGCCGAUGGCGACGAAACCGGUGGGGGUGCAACCACCAUGCACUCUCCACCCCGAAGGCCAAGAUCGCCGACUCACCGGAUCCACCUCGACAGCGACUCCACCGCAUCAUCGGAUCCACGAACUCGUCGCGAUCAGCGCCAAGUUCUUCACGAACGACAGCAAGAAGACGCUCGUACUCGCAUCGAGCGCCGAAGAGAAGCGCGGCGUCAAUCGGACCAGCGCGAUGGGCCCUCUGUCAACAUGCAUGCACCAGGGGAACCAGGCGACUUGCCGUACGCGGUAGGUUGCCCUGCGUUCACUCAUGAGCUGCGGCAAGUCCAGUGGCCCAGCACGAAGAAUUUCAGGCCAGACGUACCAGAGAAGUAUGACGGCAAGUCGCAUCCGUCGGAGUUUCUCAGCAUCUACACCAUCGCGGUGCAAGCUGCCGGGGGGCGGGACGACAAGAUCCUGGCCAACUACUUCCCGCUGGUGCUCAAGCCCAAUGUCAGAUCCUGGCUCAUGCACUUGCCGGACAACUCCAUAUCCUCCUGGGCAGACCUAUGCCAUCAGUUUGUCGGCGCCUUUACAGGCGGCCACAAGCCUCAUGGCCAAGAGAGCGACCUUCAUCUGCUCGCCCAGAAGGAAGGAGAACCCCUGCGCAAGUACAUUCAGAGAUUCAGCCGCGUACAGCACAACAUCCCAGAUGUCCACCCUGCUGCGGUAAUCAGCGCGUUCCAUCAGAACGUGCAAAACCGUAGGAUGCGGGAGGAGAUGGCGAUGUGCAAGAUUAGAGACGUCAGUGAGCUAUAUGCCCUGGCCGACAAGUGUGCACGUGCUGAGGAAGGGAGGAAACUCCCCGGAGAGAAUACAGAAGCAGGAGGAUCUGAUAGUGAGGAGGCUGCCCCGGCAAAGAAAAACCAGCGGCGGAACAAUAGGAAGAAGAAAGGCAAAGAUGUGCUAGUCGUUGAGCAGUUCGGCAACGGAGGUGGCGCCAAGAAAACCAAAGCUGGUAGCUCCGGCGAGGAGAUUGCCGCAGGCACCAACUACCAGGCUGUGGCGGUCGCCGACAAGCAGGACGACACCAACAAGCAGUACUGCAAGAUCCACCGCAUCAAGGGCCAUGACCUCCAGAGCUGCAAGAAGGUCGAGCAGCUUGUCGAGCAGCAAAAGGCUGAAUACGAGCGAUGCGACAAGGAGAAGGCCCAGAAAGGUGCUGGAGGAGCCGACAAGAAACGCCCCGGCCGAGGAGGACGCCGCGGCAAGGCCAAGCAGCGGCAAGGAGACAGACCUCCCCGCGGCCGCGACAAGGAUGAAGAUGACAACGACGAUGAAGAUAUGGAUGACGACGAGACCGAUGAGCAGGAGUUCCAGAAAGCCACAGAGGUCCUGUGCGUUGACGGCGGUGCUUCUCUGCAUACUUCACACCGCCAGCUCAAGCAGUGGGUGCGGGAAGUCAAUGCGGCAGAACCACUCGUCGAGUCACGCAAGCCUCUGAAAUGGUCCAGCACGCCUAUCAUCUUUGAUAUUGAGGACCACCCUAAUCGCAUAACUGCGGUCGGGUGCUUGCCGAUGUUGGUUUCACCAACUAUCCGCAACCUCAAGGUCACUAAGAUGCUAGUUGACGGCGGGGCCGGCUUGAACCUGAUCUCCUCCGCGGUACUCCAGAAACUCCAGAUCCCUGAUGGCGAGCUCGAAGAGACCGGCACAUUCCAAGGAAUCAAUCCGGGAAGGAGCAAGCCGAAGGGAAAGAUCACGUUGCCGGUAACAUUUGGCAGCGAGUUGAACUUCAGAACUGAGAGGGUCACUUUUGACGUUGCUGACUUUCCAUUGCCUUACAAUGGGAUACUCGGCCGUUCAGCACUCGCCAAAUUCAUGGCAGCCUCUCACUAUGCAUACAACAUGCUGAAGAUGCCAGGCCCGAUAAGUGUCAUCUCUGUCCCUGGCGACAAGAAGGAUGCUCUUAUCUGCGCCGACAAGAUCUAUCGGGAAGCAGCAGCCGCAACAGAUCGCAAGUCACUUGCCAUUGAAGCUCCCGGGGCGAAGAAGAAGACCAAGUCCGGCAAGAGUUCUGAUGCCCACUCCGGCAAGCGCACCUCUUCGGAGUGCUGUGCUACCGUCGAGGACGCACCAUCGAGCUCCACCGGCAAGUGUAAGAAGACAAUGGCAGCUCCACCAGAGACCAAGAAAGUGUCCGCCAAGGAGGAUGGCACUGGUGGUAGCUUUACCAUCAGUGCCACUCUCGACCCUAAAUAGGAAAGCGCGCUCGUUGCUUUCCUGCGGGCGAACAUCGACGUAUUUGCGUGGCAACCGUCUGACAUCCCCGGUGUUCCCAGGAAAGUAAUCGAGCACCAUCUUGCCGUCUGUCCUCAUGCGCGGCCCGUCAAGCAGAAAGUCAGGAAACAGUCAGUGGAACGCCAAGAAUUCAUCGCAGAAGAAAUCAAGAAAUUGGAAGCAGCAGGCCUUGUCAGAGGAGUGCUCCAUCCUACGUGGUUGGCCAACCCUGUAGUCGUGCGCAAGGCAAACGGGAAAUGGAGGCUUUGUAUCGACUUUACCGAUGUCAAUAAAGCUUGUCCCAAAGACCCAUUUCCCUUGCCGCGCAUCGACCAGAUUGUUGACUCCACGGCCGGAUGUGAUUUGCUUUCAUUUCUUGAUGCAUACUCAGGAUACCAUCAGAUCUUCAUGGCAGAAGAGGAUGAGGAGAAGACCGCAUUCAUCACCCCAUGUGGCACAUACUGUUUCGUACGGAUGCCUUUCGGUUUAAAGAAUGAUGGUUCAACAUUUGCAAGGGUAGUUCAUGACACUUUUGAGCCGCAAAUGCACAGAAAUGUGGAAGCCUACAUGGAUGACAUAGUGGUCAAGAGCAAGGACAAGGCGACUAUGAUUCAAGAUUUAGACGAAACCUUUGCAAAUCUGCGCAAGAUCAACCUCAAGCUUAACCCCGAGAAGUGUGUGUUUGGAGUCCCCUCCGGCAAGCUUCUCGGGUUCUUCGUGUCUCAGCGGGAAAUUGAAGCCAAUCCCGACAAGAUCAAGGCCAUUGAGCAGAUUGAAGCACCAAAGCGCGUCAAGGAUGUACGAAGACUUGCCGGUUGCGUGGCUGCUCUCAGCAGGUUUAUCUCUAGGUCUGCUAAGCGCGCCCUACCAUUUUUCAAAAUAUUGAAAAAGGCAGGUCCAAUGAAAUGGACUCCGGAAGCGGAGGCUGCACUGCAGGACUUAAAGAGAUACCUGUCCUCCACUCCAACACUUGUCGCACCUAAGCCACAAGAGAAGUUGCUGCUAUAUAUAGCGGCAAUCAAUCAAGUGGUUAGUGCUGCGUUAGUAGCGGAGAGGGAGACGGAUGAUGAGCCAGCAACCACGGCAGAUGCAUCCAGCGACAAGCAGGGGACUUCACCGGCAAGCUCUGGUCCCGACAAAGAUGGAUCUGUGCAGGCGCGUGAGAAGAUGCAGAAAAGAAUGGUGCAGCGCCCAGUUUACUUUGUCAGUUCCCUUCUGCAGGGGGCUAGGUCAAGGUACUCUGGUGUGCAGAAAUUGCUUUUCGGCCUUCUCAUGGCCUCGAGAAAGCUGCGCCAUUACUUCCAAGCACAUGAGAUCACAGUCGUCACUCGUUUUCCGCUGAAAAGGAUACUGCAAAAUCCAGAAGCAACAGGCAGGAUUGUCGAGUGGGCACCGGAACUGUCAAGUUUUGGCCUCAAGUUUGAGAGCACUUCAACUAUCCAAAGCAGAGCAUUGGCGGAGUUCAUAGUAGAAUGGACGCCAACACAAGAUGAAGAAAUUCCAGAAACAAGCAUCCCCGUCAAGGAAGCAAGCAAAGAGUGGCUGAUGUACUUUGAUGGUGCCUUCUCGCUGCAAGGCGCCGGUGCGGGCGUGCUUCUUGUUGCGCCCAUCGGAGAGCACCUCAAGUACGUAGUCCAAAUGCACUUUCCCAAGGAGCAAGCCACGAACAAUACCGCAGAGUAUGAAGGUUUGCUUGCCGGUCUCAGGAUCGCAGCAGACCUUGGGAUCAAGAAGCUCAUUGUCAGGGGUGACUCACAGCUUGUCGUCCGCCAAGUGAACAAGAAUUAUCAGAGUCCGUUGAUGGAAGCUUACGUUGAUGAAGUGAGAAAGCUAGAAGAGCACUUUGACAGCCUACAAAUGGAACAUGUUCCAAGAGCUCAGAACGACAUUGCCGAUGGCCUGUCGAAGUGCGCCGCACUUAAGUUACCUGUGGAACCAGGGAUCUUUGUGCUCAAACUGACUCAACCGUCUGUAACGCCAUCAACUGUACAGAGCAAGAAGAGGAAGUUGAUUUCUGGUGACUAUUUUCCGGCAGAGCUCCCCGAAGCCGCCGCCAAGAAGGUCCUUAAAAUCAACACCAAGGGUGCUGAGGAGCAGUCUGCUCCGGCAAGUCCUAGGGUUUGUUCCGUUGAAGCAGACGCUCCCGACAAGUUUUGCUCCGGCAAGCUUGCCGGGGAACGUCAAGCUCCGGCUGAGCCGCAGGUUCUCGCCGUAGAAGCGGAUGUUCCCGCAGCAGCAGAUGUGCCUUUAGUCCUUGUUGUCGAGCCGCAAGCUCCAGCAUGGGCACAACAGAUUGUCCGUUUCCUUCAGACAGGAGAACUUCCCGAAGAGCAAGAAGAAGCGGAAAGAGUAGCCCGGCAGUCAAGUAUGUACCAGUUUGUUGACAACACACUGUACAAAAGAAGACUCAACAGCGUGAAAUUGAAGUGUAUUCACCGGGAAGACAGACAAAAGCUGUUGGCAGAGAUACAUGGAGGCAUAUGUGGUCACCACAUUGGCGCAAGAGCACUUGCCGGAAAAGCGUUCCGGCAAGGUUUCUUUUGGUCGACGGCCCUCCAGGAUGCAACUGCACAAGUAACCAAGUGUGAAGCGUGCCAGUUCCAUUCCAAGCAGAUACACCAGCCAGCUCAAGCUCUCCAGACGAUCCCUUUAUCCUGGCCAUUUUCGGUCUGGGGGCUCGACAUCCUCGGCCCCUUUCCCCGAGCUGUCGGGGGCUUUGAGUACUUGUACGUUGCAAUCGACAAGUUCACAAAGUGGCCAGAAGUGGAAGCAGUGAGGAAGGUGACAGCACAGUCAGCAGUCAAGUUCUUCAGGUCGAUUGUUUGCCGCUUCGGGAUCCCUAACAGGAUCAUCACCGACAACGACACGCAAUUCACGAGCCGCACCUUCAUGCAGUACGUCCAAGAUCUUGGCGCCAAGUUCUGCUUCGCUUCUGUUGCUCAUCCAAGAAGUAAUGGUCAAGCAGAGAGGGUGAAUGCUGAAGUGCUGCGCGGGCUCAAGACCAGGACUUUCGACAGGCUGCGCAAGUGCGGAAAGAACUGGAUUGAGGAGCUGCCGGUGGUUCUUUGGUCGAUCAGGACGACGCCAAAUCGAGCCACUGGCCAGACACCUUUCGCUCUAGUCUAUGAAGCAGAGGCAGUUCUCCCCACGGAACUCGUAUACGGGUCACCUCGAGUGCUCGCUUAUGAUGAGCUUGAGCAAGAGCAGUUGCGACAAGAUGACGCGCUGCUCCUUGAGGAGGACCAUCUUCAGGCCGCUGCACGAGCUGCUCGAUACCAGCAAGCUUUGCGCCGCUACCGUAGCCGCAAAGUUAAUGCCAGAAGUCUCAAGGAAGGCGACCUUGUUCUUCGGCGCGUUCAGUCCGCCAAGAAGUCCAACAAGUUGACGCCGAAGUGGGAAGGCCCUUACCGGGUGAAACGAGUCACUAGGCCUGGCACUGUCCGCCUUGAGACCGAAGAUGGCAUUCCGGUGAGCAACUCCUGGAACAUUGAGCAUCUUCGUAAGUUUUACCCGUAGGGCGCGGUUGCCGAAACCUGUUCCGGCAACCACCUUUUGUACAAGUCUUGCCGAUGUUGCAUGUAAUCCUUUGUACGAAGUCGGGCGCAGACCCCGUGCAUAAGUAAAACUCAUGUGCUCCGCACAUCUUGUCAAUUUCAUGCUUUCUACUUUGCAUGCAUUUUCUGACACUUUGUGCAGCGCCUACCCCCGGUAAGCAAUAGCGAGCCGAAAGGCUCCAUAUCUUUAUUUUCUCUUCUUUCUCUUUCUCAAAGAAAGGAAGGUUCCUUCGCCCACAAGUUUGCCAGGGGGAAAGGAGAAGAUAAUGGUGUGGACCAAGCGUUGUUCGAGGAAGUUUCGCCUUACCGGGAAGCAAACGACAGAAAAGCUAAGUUGCUAAAGUUUGAGCAAUCAGUUUUAAAAUUUUUAAGUUAUCUUCCUCGAAUGACCGUACUUUGUAUGGAAAACCUGUGCGCGGAGGAACCAACUCGUAGCUAGUUGCGCCCUUACUUUGUUUCGAGUCCGCUCAACAACUUAAGUGAGCUGCGACUAGUUGCGACAAGGUUUCUUGUCGGUAGCGGCACCGCCAGCAGGCUGCUGACGUCCCGCACUCAGCGCUCACGGCUAAGGUGCCUGCGCCGACAAGUUCCCUAAAAGUGUAGGGCAAAAACAUACAAAGGAAGGAAUCAAGUAAAGGAAAUAACAUAGCAAUCGCCACCCAAAAUAGAGUCAUAUUACAAGAUAGCUUGUCGCAGCUCUAACAGAUUGUUCUCAUAACAUGACCAGCAGCGACAAGAAAAAGAGAAAACGGGCGGCCUAAUCUACGCGAUCGCCCUCAACCCUCUUGAUCCCGCUCACCUUGUCCACAAUGGGUGCGACAAGGGUCUUGAGCGCUUCCAGAUCAGCAUCCGGCGGCAAGGUCCUGAGGACGUUGGUGAGGUUGAGGCCUGGGUUGCGGAAGGCCACCUUCACCAACACCUUUUGAAGAGCUCCCGCGCAGAUCUUGCGCGACUCGUCGGCCAGCUGCUUUGGGAUUUUCUCCCAGAGUCGCUGGAGGGCCGUAGCCACACCUUUGAAGAACAAGCUGAGCUUGGCGCUGGGUUGGAGGUGCUCAUCGGAGGAAUACCCGAGAUCCUCCAUCCCCAGCUGCGCCAGCUCCCUGUCGAUGACUGCGGCAACAUCCACGAGACCCUCGGUCCAAUGCUCCACAUUCUCCCUAAAAGCGUUCUGGGCGGCAGCAGCACUCGCCAGCAGCGCCUCGUCGGCCUUGAUCUUCUCCUUCAAGGCCACCUCCUGCUCCCUGGCACCGUCCAGCGUCUUGGUCAAAGUAGUCAGCUUCAGCUCAAGAUCUGCGUUGGAGUCCUUGGCGGCGCUAAGCUCCUUGCUCCUCUCGGUGAGACGACCCUGCAGCUCGCCAUGUGUGUAGGCGUCCUUCUCGCGCUCAUGCUUGAGCGCAGCAAGCUCCUCGCCGCUCACCUUGAGAUCGGCCUCCAGCCGCGCCACCUUCGUCUCCAGCUUCUUCUUGGCGGCCUCGGCAGCUGCGGCAGCAUCCUCUGCUUCCUUGAGAGCCCCACCGAAUGUUUGCUCACGCGCGGCAAGCUCCUCCUCGUGGCUGUCAAGGUUAACCUUCCGUUGCGCCAACUCGCCUUUCUCGCAGACAGCUUCUCGGCAGCAAGCCGCUGUUGCUCUUCAACUUCAGCCUUUUCGAGGAGGAAGGCUUUCCGCUCCUCGGCGAGUUGCUCCCGCUCCUUUGCCAGGGACCGGAGAGCUUCCUGGUUGAGGCCCCGGAGCUCCUCCGCGCGCUUCUCGAUGUCCACUCCCGCCUUCGCGACAAGCGCUUCUCGGGAUACCAGCUUGGCUUGUCGGGCGCGGUAGAGCGACAACAGCUUCUGCAGCAGCUCCUCCUCCUCAGGCUCGCCGCUGCUGCUGCUCGGCGCGUCGACCAGCGUCAGCCCAACGGAGGCGAGCAACUCUUCAUCAAAGGUUUCUCCUUCGAUCGGCGCCCUGGAGCUCGACGCCCAGGGGAGCUUGAUGAAGAUGCCAUCGCUGGCCUUCAAAUAGGCGCCGGGCUGAGACUCUUCGGAGCCUGGCGCUGCAGCAGCGGUGGAGGGAUCGGCGAUCGGCGUAGCGCCUGACGCUCCUGCGGCCUCGGGGCCGUCAGUGCGAUCGCCGGACCCCUCGCCAGCUUCUGCGGCGGCAGCUUUGGCGGCCUCUUCGCCGGCGGGAUCAUCAGCGCCGGCCUCUUCUUCGGUGGUAGCGGCGUCGACGGUAUUGCCGCUCGCGUUCUCAUCGCCGGCGACCUCGGUUUCCAUCGGCUCCGUGGCAGAUGGAUCUGACGACCGGAAAAGGGAGAAAAGUCAAGCAAAUAUUCAAAAAGAAAAUCAGAAGAAGAAGAACCCAAGGGAAGUUUUCAAGCAAGAGGAUUACCUGUACUAGGAUCUACAGUCGUGGUCUCCGCCACCGGGGGGUCGCUGGUGCUGUCCCUUGCCGGAGAACUGUCCCUUGCCGGAGACUUCUCCCUUACCGGAAAAUUCUCCCUUGCCGGAGAACGCUCCCUUGCCGGGGAAUCCUCCCUUGGCGGUGUAGUCGAAGCAGAUGGCAUGUCGGGAGCGGCUGCCGGGCACUCCUGGUGAGACUGCUCUGCUCCUACGCAAACCAAUAGUCAGAUGUCAGCAAAGAAAGAGCACCCAUGCGCGCCUAACAGCAGGAAGUAAACCAUAUACUUACGCUGGGGGCUGCGCUAGGGGCUGCUUUGGGGAAUAGUUGCCGGGUCCGGCAAGGUGGUCUCGGACACACCCCUUGCUGUCGCGGUGGGUUCGUCCUCGAUGACAAUCACCGGGACCUUGGCUCUCUUCGCCGCUCUCUGGGCCAGAGUCCUGAAAAGGAAUGGGUUCGGAGUAAAGCAAAUCAGAUACAAGAUAAAACAGCAAGAAUUGAAGAACUACAAGUACAGCAAAGAAUCUUACUCUUCCUCUUCCUCGUCGGAGCUGAGCGCGGAAAGGUCGAAGUCCGGCUCACCUCCGGCGCGACAAGGCGGAGGAGUAGGUUCCCUUAGCCGCUUGGCGGGAGCAGAAACGGUGGUCCGGGAGGGCCCCGCUCCAGUUGCCGCAGUGGCGUGAGGUGCUCCCGCGGCAACAGUGCUUGCCACGGUGGAGCGCAUCGCGUGGCGCGGCAGCUGUUGACCCGUCUGCCGUCCCGCUACGUCCACGGCCUUGCGUAGACGCCUUCUUGGUGGAGCUGGGGGCUCCGCUUGCGGCGAGCUAUCUGAAGGUUCGGGCCCGACAAGCUCUCCCUCGCCGGGCUCGCUCGACUCAGCUUCAGGCCCGACAGGCUCUCCCUCGCCGGCAAGCUCCUCUCGCUCGGCAAGGCUUGCCGCCUCUGCUGCCUCUGCCUCCUCCACGGUGAAUCCAAACUCGCCCGCGGCAGCGGCUGCCGCCGCCUCUUCCAGCCUAGUGGCGAUGCGCUGCAUCUCCGCAUCGGUGGUGUCGCGAGUAAGGCUCUUCUGUUCAUCGGAGCGGACCGGCACUUCUACCAAGCCGUCAAAGAACUCCUGCACGACGUCGUCUGCAGGCUCUUGCCAAGUUGGGACAAUUCCAUGCGAAUCGCACAGCGGCAUCAUUGCACGGAUGCGGUCGAGCGAGGAAUUGUUGCACAGCGGAACGACACCCCUCGGCAACAUGAACGCUUCGGGAUGUUGAGGAUCGUGCUUAAACAGUUCCAGGAGCAUCGCGUCCAGUUCUAGGACAGUGAAGUUGAAGUUGAGGCCUAGGCGCAGCCUCAUGAUAUCCGCCGCAUUCUGGAACUCCCAGGCGGGUCUCCUCCUCUCCUGCAGGGGGGCGAUGCGGCGGCGAAGAAAAUCUGCGCCAACAGCGCCUAUGGUGAGCCCGGCAAGCCUGAGGCAUAGGAUCCGGGUGACGGCAAUCUUCAGCCUAUCGUCUUCCGGGGCCACGUUGCUCCAAUCGUUGCCGCGCGCUAUUGGGGCUUGGCGCUGGGCGGUAAAUGGCUGCGGGUUCUCCUCGACAAUCCAGCACCAGUCUGCUCUCCAUUCCUCCCACUUGCUGCAGAGCUCUCCCUCCAGAUAAGCUUCCUUCUUGCCAGCUCUCGAGAUCCAGGCGAUUCCACCGGAUAAAGGCUCCCCUCUCUCAACUCGGGGCAUAAAGAAGUGGCGAAAAAGAGCUACAUUUGGAUAGACUCCGACAAAGUUUUCGCAGAGAUGUGCGAAAACUGCCAUGGUCAGAACGGUGUUGGGGGUGAAGUCAAGGAGGCGGAACCCGUAGGUGUUCAUAAUAUCACAGAAAAACUCAGAGAAAGGCGGGCAGAGCCCACAGUAGAAGAACAAUGUGAAGAAGGGAUAUCCGUUCAGAGCCAGUUCCGAGGCGGCAGCUGAGAGUACCUUCGUGCGCGGAUGCGCUCACGUCUCCGUCGACCAGAAGAGGUAGUAAUACUCCCUCAGCUCCUUCGCGGCGAGCUGAGGGGGGAAGAUUGCCCGCUCCUUUCGCAGCACCGCGAGCCGCUGCGCCUCAGCCGACUUCACAACCUUCCCGGCUUUCGGAGCCAUGGCGGAGGUGGUGAGAAAGAUCGACGGCGUUGGUGGUGCCGGUGGCGAUGGGGGGCGGAGCGCUGCUUUCUUUCAGCUUUGAGAAGAAGGGGGGAGCGGCGGAGGAUUUUAAGAUUGAAGUAGCAACCAGCGAGAUGGGCGGACUGCCCCUGUUUCCCCUGCUUAUAAAGAGGGAGGGGGCGGAAGUUCCGUCUUUCCGAAUAAAGAAACCACCCACGAUCUCUCCCACGACGCCGCAUUCGACGCGUGCCGUUCGAGGAGGGCGCGGUGGAUACAGAGUGAGAUACGGCGUAACCCAGGCCGCGCGUGCCCGUGCCCUGUUUUGGGCCUGGCCCAAUAGCGCUCGGCACCGUGUGUGGCCCAGGCCCGGGGGCUCCUGUCGGUGUACUAGAGUAGGGGUACCCUAGUAUCCCGAACUCGUGCACGGGCAGUCGCAACACCCCGCGGCAAGGCUUGCCAGGUGACCGCCAAGGUCCUCCGUGGUUCCUUUGGAGCCAUUCAAGAACAAAGUAUUCAAGCCAAGGAGACAAGGCCCCGGCAAGAGGAGCUUGCCGGGAAGGUCAACCAAGGCAUCUCAAGGAACUUGCCGCGACGCGCACACGUCCCGGCGAGGCCCGGUAAGCGACAAGCUUCCGGACGCGACAAGACAACGACCGCGGCAAGGCGCUUGCCGCGGCAAACUACCACUCUGUACCCGCGCUCCAGCACAUCCACCAACGUGUCGCCCUGGGACCUUUCCAGGCGCGCGUGGCAAGAGGCUGUGCGGCCAGCGGUGCGCGGUGGCAAGCGACGCUGACAAGAUUGCCAUCGUGGCAAGCGGUGGCGUCCCUGACGGUCCCUUUUUGCACUAUUUGGGCGACGUAGACGGGCAUUUAAUGCCUUUGUCCCCUGCCGUCAGGGUUAGGUAUGAUACACUGUACAGGUAGUUGUACCAACCGCAAUUCCUUUUCCAUUUUUACCCUUGUCUACGUUGCCACCUGUCGGAGACCCCUUUAGCAUAUAAAAGGAGGCCCAUGCGCAACGUAGAGGGGGGUUGGAAGGCAGAAAACACUCACGCUCGGUCUCGUUAGCAGCUAGUGUGUACUGUAGCACUCAGCGCUUCCGGGCAAGAACUCAAUACACCCAGACAUGCAGCAGUAGGAGUGUUAUAUCUCCGGAGAGCUCCGAAGCUGGGUAAACUGCUCGUGUGCUUCGCCUCGAUCCGCUCUUUGUGCGAUCUCCGCCCCCCGCCGAACCGAAAGGGGCUCGGUCCGCCGGUCCCAUAGGUGUUCGUGGAUCAGUUUCCCCGACACCUUCAAUUCUAAUUCUUUAUUAUUUGU